UUUUGAAAACGUGGCAAAGACAAUUCGUCAACAAAUAGUGCUUGGAGCCUGAUACUAGAAGCAAGACGUUGAAGCAACCACAAAACGCCAAGCUGAUAGAUAUUCGCACCAUGCUUCACAUUGCCACCGACCUAGAAAAUCAGGAUGGGAUCUGGCAACACUCCAUGACUGACGUCAUAGCCAACUGCAGCGCCGCCUGGCAGCCGCCGCCCUGCCACCUGGCGGCGGAGGC